rnacentral:lncRNA from 1 species
ACGACUAAGGGGAAUGGAAUGUCGACCACAGGGUGAGAGAAUCUUAUAAUACGAGGGCUAGUGACUGGUCAAGUCAUUAAACUUAGUCAUUUUGAUCAACAUGGCUGCAAGUGGACUGGGUUUAUGGGUUUAAACUGACUACGACCAAAGUCGUGGCUACUUCAACCAAAAAAAGGGCGACCCCCUAUUCAAACCAAAAGAAGUACCUCACCUCACUUACGAAACAAGUGGACUGGGUAUAUGGGUUUAAAAUGACUACGACCAAAGUCGUGGCUACUUCAACCAAAAAAAGGGCGAUCCCCUAUUCAAACCAAAAGAAGUACCUCACCUCACUUACGAAGAAGUUGUUGGAGCUGGGCUCCGAACUAUGAGAGUUUGCUUUUUAUCUUUCUCAGAGCGGUCUGAUCAAAUAGGGGAUCAGACCACUCCUGGUGUUUUAACUAGUCAUUAAUGGUCGGCUUAAUUAGUACCCUUUCGGUAUGUGUUGCGAACACUUUCAUUUUUAGCCUCUCAUCUUCUCUAGAGAAGCAAAACUCGAACGGAUAGAACAGAUGGUCCAACUACAUAACUUUUUCUUUUUCAUUACUUCCAUGGUCGUGCCUCGUGGCACGGCAGC